GCCUCUGUGGUCUAGUGGUAAGACCACCUGCUUCAGACGCAGAGGUCCUGGGUUCGAUUCCCAGUGGGGGCA